rnacentral:rRNA from 1 species
GCCUGAGAAAUGGCCACUACGUCUAAGGAUGGCAGCAGGCGCGCAAAUUACCCACUCUCGGCGCGAGGAGGUAGUGACGAGAAAUAACGAGACCGUUCUYUACGAGGCCGGUCAUCGGAAUGGGUACAACCUAAACCCUUUAACGAGUAUCUAUGAGAGGGCAAGUCUGGUGCCAGCAGCCGCGGUAAUUCCAGCUCUCAAAAUGCAUAGACAUAUUGCUGCGGUUAAAAAGCUCGUAGUUGGAUCUGUACCCGCGCGCCGGCCCACCCAGCCGGGUGCGCACUGGUUGCGCGGGCUUCGUGCCGGUCUACCGCCAGCAAUGGCGGCGGCUGGCGAGUUUACUUUGAACAAAUCAGAGUGCUCAACACAGGCGUCUCGCCUGAAUGUUCGUGCAUGGAAUAAUGGAAGAGGAUCACGGUCCUAUUUUAUUGGUUUUGCGGACUGAGGUAAUGGUUAACAGAGACAAACGGGAGCAUUCGUACCGCUGCGUGAGAGGUGAAAUUCUUGGACCGCAGCGAGACGCACGACAGCGAAAGCAUUUGCCAAGCAUGUCUUCAUUAAUCAAGAACGAAAGUCAGAGGUUCGAAGGCGAUCAGAUACCGCCCUAGUUCUGACCGUAAACGAUGCCAACUAGCGAUCCGCCGGCGGAUUUUUCGCCCUGGUGGGGAGCUUCCCGGAAACGAAAGUCUUCCGGUUCCGGGGGAAGUAUGGUUGCAAAGCUGAAACUUAAAGGAAUUGACGGAAGGGCACCACCAGGAGUGGAGCCUGCGGCUUAAUUUGACUCAACACGGGGAAACUCACCCGGGCCGGACACCGCGAGGAUUGACAGAUCGAGAGCUCUUUCUUGAUUCGGUGGAUGGUGGUGCAUGGCCGUUCUUAGUUCGUGGAGCGAUUUGUCUGGUUUAUUCCGAUAACGAGCGAGACUCUAGCCUGCUAAAUAGUGGAGCCAUUGCCUUGUGGCCGCCGCUUCUUAGAGGGAUUGGCGGCUCCCAGCCGCACGAAACUGAGCAAUAACAGGUCUGUGAUGCCCUUAGAUGUCCGGGGCUGCACGCGCGCUACACUGGCGAAGGCAGCGUGCCUGUCCUGCCGCGAAGGCGGUGGGUAAACCAUUGAAAAUUCGCCGUGAUUGGGAUCGGAGAUUGCAAUUAUUCUCCGUGAACGAGGAAUUCCAAGUAAGUGCGAGUCACCAA